CGCUGGCGGCGUGCCUAACACAUGCAAGUCGAGCGGAGACAGUGAGUAGCUUGCUACGAGCUGUUUUAGCGGCGGACGGGUGAGUAACGCGUGAGCAACCUUUCCCAGACAGGGGAAUAACACACCGAAAGGUGUACUAAUACCGCAUAAGACCACGGGAUCACAUGGUUCUGGGGUAAAAGAUUUAUCGGUUUGGGGUGGGCUCGCGUCCGAUUAGGUAGUUGGUGAGGUAACGGCCCACCAAGCCGACGAUCGGUAGCCGACCUGAGAGGGUGAUCGGCCACAUUGGGACUGAGACACGGCCCAAACUCCUACGGGAGGCAGCAGUGGGGAAUAUUGGGCAAUGGAGGAAACUCUGACCCAGCAACGCCGCGUGGAGGAAGAAGGUUUUCGGAUCGUAAACUCCUGUCCUUGGAGACGAGUAGAAGACGGUAUCCAAGGAGGAAGCCCCGGCUAACUACGUGCCAGCAGCCGCGGUAAUACGUAGGGGGCAAGCGUUGUCCGGAAUAAUUGGGCGUAAAGGGCGCGUAGGCGGCUCGGUAAGUCUGGAGUGAAAGUCCUGCUUUUAAGGUGGGAAUUGCUUUGGAUACUGUCGGGCUUGAGUGCAGGAGAGGUUAGUGGAAUUCCCAGUGUAGCGGUGAAAUGCGUAGAGAUUGGGAGGAACACCAGUGGCGAAGGCGACUAACUGGACUGUAACUGACGCUGAGGCGCGAAAGUGUGGGGAGCAAACAGGAUUAGAUACCCUGGUAGUCCACACUGUAAACGAUGAAUGCUAGGUGUAGGGGGUAUCGACCCCUUCUGUGCCGCAGUCAACACAAUAAGCAUUCCGCCUGGGGAGUACGGCCGCAAGGUUGAAACUCAAAUGAAUUGACGG
rnacentral:rRNA from 1 species